rnacentral:rRNA from 1 species
AAUGAACGUUGGCGGCGUGGAUUAGGCAUGCAAGUCGAGCGCUCAUAGCAAUAUGGGAGCGGCGAACGGCGUAGUAAUAUGUAGGAACGUACCCUCGGGUCGGGGAUAGCCAUGGGAAACUGUGGGUAAUACCCGAUAAUCUCUGCGGAGCAAAGGUGUGAUUCCGCCUGAGGAGCGGCCUACACGAUAUUAGCUAGUUGGUAGGGUAAUGGCCUACCAAGGCUACGAUGUCUAGGGGGUGUGAGAGCAUGGCCCCCACGACCGGAACUGAGAUACUGUCCGGACACCUACGGGUGGCUGCAGUCGAGAAUCUUCCGCAAUGGACGAAAGUCUGACGGAGCGACGCCGCGUGCGGGAUGGAGGCCCUUGGGUUGUAAACCGCUGUCAGAGGGGAUUGAAACUCUUCGGAGGUGCUCCUCCAAAAGUUGACAGAGCCUUCAAAAGGAAGCACGGGCUAAGUACGUGCCAGCAGCCGCGG